rnacentral:snRNA from 14 species
AUACUUACCUGGCGCGGGGGGAUACCGUGAUCAAGAAGGCGGUGCCUCCAGGACGAGGCCUGUACAUUGCACUCCGUAUGGGCUGACUCCUGCGACUACCCCAAUCGGGGUGGCUCGAGCGCAUAAUUUUUGGUAGUGGGGACAAGCGUUCGCGCUGUCCCUUU